UACGGAGGAUGCAAGCGUUAUCCGGAUUUAUUGGGUUUAAAGGGUGCGCAGGCGGCGCGUUAAGUCAGUGGUGAAAUGUCCCGGCUCAACCGGGGCACUGCCAUUGAUACUGGCGUGCUAGAGUACGGACGGCGCCGGCGGAAUGUGUCAUGUAGCGGUGAAAUGCUUAGAUAUGCCACAGAACACCGAUCGCGAAGGCAGCUGGCGAGGCCGGUACUGACGCUCAGGCACGAAAGCGUGGGGAU
rnacentral:rRNA from 1 species